GGCAGGCCUUCUUCCAGCUCCGCUGCCGGAGUUUCUAGGGGCUUUGCGGAGUCUCAGAGACGGUGGGGUGGGGAGGGAGAUCCCCCAGGGACUUGGUAGUGAUCUUACUACCCCCCCCCCACAUUUUCCCCCGGCUGCUGGGGAUUGGGGGGGUAGCAAGCCCUGGUUAAUGAUGAUGAUUUAAUCAUCGGCGCCUGCGGAGGCCUGGGACAGACUAAUGCAGAGCAGAUGCCGAAGGAGGAGGGGAGGACGAUAGGACACUGCGGCACGGAGACACGCUUAGGUAGCGAGCGCCUGCAGUAGCAUAGGCCCAGCCCCACACUUGGGGAGGACUCUGGGGUCGUGAGGGCUUGUGCACCGCCAUCCCUGGGUCCUUACAGCGAAAUUUUAAAAGAAUUAAGUUUACUAUGACGUAUCGACAACAAUGCAACUGGAGAUUCGAGAAGGGUGAGAUCCCAAUAAGACCUCAAAAGGCUUUGAGGAAAAAGUGGGACUUUGUGCGAGCACAAUUUAGACAUGGAAGAAGGGGUAGAAGUGUGAUGGAAAUAGAAAAGAAAGGCAAAGUGGAGAGGAAUAUCGGGAAGGAGGUCAAGGUGUGGAUUUGAGAGUGGUGACAGACACGGCAACGACUAAGAGUUGGGAUUUUAGCCUUAGGACAACAGGGAGCUAGUACAAGUGGGGGCAGGUGAGGAGGGAGGUGUUCCCCCAUGAAUGCAACAAAAUACCCAUUUCUCUUCAAAAUGAAUUGUGGACAAGCAGCAAGGAGUUAUGAAAUUCCUGCUUUAUUAACCAAUUAUUCAUUAUGGCCACUGUUUACUUUCCACUUCUUGGUGGUUGCAAUGGCUUCUUUGCAUUCUUUGUGUCCACCUUUGCACUUCUUUAUCCUGUUCUUUACAGGGCAGCUCAGAAAUAUUCUGAUGUCAUGAAUCAGAAAGGAUACUAGGAAGGUUUUUGAUGAACAUGUUUUAUUUGGAUUGUGAUGAUAAUUUCAUGGGUAUAUAGAUGUCAAGACAUUAAAUUGUACACUUCAAAUAUCUGCAGUUUGUCAUUUGUACCUCAAAAAGCUGUUAAAAAUAAAAUUGAAAAAUCAAGUUUUUUUUUCUGUUUAAAAACUUUGGUAAGUAGUGGUAGAGGCCCUGGUUCAUCUCCAAAACUUGUAAACAAACACCAGAAACAAACCUUAUUAUAGCUUCCCUUUUCAAUCAUAAUAAAAGCCAAAGGUCUUAUAAAGGUCUGCAAGGCCCUGCAUAGUCUCUCCAGUCACAAAGAACCCUUCAGUAUUUACUCCACAGUCACACCAGGGUAUGCUGAGUUCCAACUUGAAAUUCUGGGUAUCCAAAUGGCUCCUUCCUUUACAAUUUUCCCUCCAUGAAGCUUCUGUGAUCACUAUCUAUCCCCCUUCACUUCCUUGCUCUAUUUUUCUUCUUAGCAUUUAUUAGCAUUAUUAGUGUUUAUUAUUAUUUAAUAUGUUUUUCUUUUACAUAUUGCUAAUACAUACUUGGUUAAUUUUUCAUUUGCAUUUUCCACUAGAAUGAAAGCUUUCAGAGGCAAAUCCACCACUAUCCAUUGUGUUCACAGCUUUAUCUCUAAUGCCAGGCACAUAGUGGAUAUUCAAUAAAAAAAUUUCUGGAUGAACAAAUAAGUAAGUCCAGGUGGCAGUGUUGGCAGCUUAGAUUAGGGUUUUAGCAAUGUAGAUGGAAAGGGUUGUAUCUGAAAUUCUCCAAAGGAAAGUUAAUAGAAGAAAUUAGCCAGGGACUGGAUUUGUGGGGCUUGGGCAAGAGGGUGAAUGAGGAAUUUGGGAGGUAGGCAUGUCUUACAGUAGUUUCAGGAAUGGCAAAGUGAGCUGGUCAGACAGAAAGGAGUGGUGGGGCUAAAGUAUCAUGUCCCAGAGUUGUCUCGGUAGAUGUGAGAGUUGGGAAUACUGGAAUGGAUGAAACCUGAGCAGAUGUAGAAAUAAUGAAAGCUGAAGUUGCUGAGUAUGGUGACACGCACUUUAAUCUCAGAUACUAAGGAAGCUGAGGCAGGAGGAUCCCCAGUUUGAUGCCAACUUCCACAAUUUAGUGAGACCCCCUCAAAAUAAAAACAUUUAAAAGGGGGACAGCAAAAAUGGGGGCCUGGAGUUGUGGCUCAGUGGUAGACCACUUGCCUAGCAUGUGUGAGGCACUGGGUUUGAUUCUCAACAGUGUGUGUGCGUGUAUGAAUAAAAUAAAGGUCCAUCAACAUCAAAAACAAAAUAUAAUAAAAGGGGGGGCAGCUGGGGAUGUCGCUCAGUGUUGGAGCUCUUGCCUAUUAUGUUCAUGGCCCUGGCUUCAAUCCUCAGUAUGAAAACAAAAAGGAAAAAGAAAGGAAGAAAGCUCAAGUCUGUGCUCUGAAGAAUGUUUGUACACUUCAGUAGAAGGAGCAAAGUCAGUGAAGGAGAGAUGUAAGCUGUGACAAAGUCCAAAAUACAAAAUAAUAGAAUAUUACAGAAGCCAAAAGAAAGGACAUUUCAAAAACCAUCGAUGAUCAACAAAGUAAAACAUGUUAGGGAAGGCCUGGAAAGAUAUGCCAGACACUAGAAAAGAAAGUGUCACUAUAGGGAAGCCAGUUUGCACUGUGUUAAUACAAGAAUGAAUGAUGAGGACAUGGGGGCAGUGGACAUGGACAGCAAAAAGGAAAAGAAAAACAUAAUUGUUUUUUGGAGAAUCAGGCAAUGAUUAUGUUCAUAUGAUGUCAGUUGGGGCCAGGAAGAACUAAGCUGAUAAAUGAUUUAGGAGUGGGAACCAUCUUGAAUAAAGGACAUGGAUUAAUGACAGGAAGGAGGGAAUAAGAGUAGCGGCUAGGGUUUGGCUUCUUCCUAUGAGGCUACAAGCUCAGACUGAAGACUUGGGGGGCACAGAUACAAAGAAUAUGGUAAGACACAUCCAAUGUGGU
rnacentral:lncRNA from 1 species